GGGCAGGUGUCAGAGUGGUCGAAUGAGCACGCUUGGAAAGCGUGUGUGCUGGUAACAGUACCGAGGGUUCGAAUCCCUCCCUGUCCGCCA
rnacentral:tRNA from 1 species